GGCUGGUCUUCCCUGUGCUAUUCUCGUGAUAGUGAGUAAGUCUCACAACAUCUGAUGGGUUUAUCAGGGGUUUCUGCUUUUGCUUCUUCCUCAUUUUCUCUUGCCUCUGCUAUGUAAGAAAACCUUUCACCUCCCACCAUGAUUUUGAGACCUCCCCAGCCAAGUGGAACUGAAGGGUCCUGUCCUGUACCCGGGAGGAAGAAAUGCUACACAGAGAAGCCAAGAUGAAUCUGAACAGACAGCCUUUGUUCUGAAGACUGGAAGUGCAAGAUUAGGAUGUCAGCAGGUUUUGUUUCUUCCUGAAGCCUUUCUCCUUGGCCUCUAGAUAGCCUCCUUCUUGCUGGGCCUCAUGGACUUUUUUCUGUGUGUAUGCACCCUAUUUCUUCAUUUUCUUAUAAGGACACCAUUUAUAUUGGAUGAGGAUCCAAUCCUAAGAAUCUCAUUUUAUCUUAAUCACCUUUUUAAGGACCUUAUCUUCAAAUACAAUUGCAUUCUGAGAUUCUGGGGGUUAGGAGUUCACAUAUAAAUUCUGCCCAAAACAUGUAGUAUUUGGACUCAUCUAAUAAGGUGUCAGUCAAAAACAUGGUAGUGGAGGAAACUGCUAAGGGAAUGAGUAUAAAGAGAAUAUAGAUAAGAGCUAAUAACAAAGUACUUGGGAAUAGCACAUAACAAAAUUAUAGAAAGUCAAAAGUUAGAAAUCUAAAAUACUUAAAGAUCAAAGUGGAAAGAAUGAUGAUAAAUCAUUCAACUAUUAUAAUGCCACAAGUAGCUAAUGCAAUUAGUUUGCUGGUUACUCAACUAAUAGGACUAUAUCACUGUGGCUACUGCAACAAUUAAUUAACUGGGGGAAGAGGAGAACCUGGAAGGCAAUCUCCAAAACAAGUGGAUGAGGACGGAUAAAAGGAAUAAUGAAUGUGGGCAGAAAAAGAAAAAAGAAUAAAUUACCAGCAGAAUAUCUGUGUCAUGAAGCCUUUUAUUAAAAACUAACCUCUGAUCCAUACUUGGAGGAUAAGCUGAUUUCCUCUUUGAGUAUCUCUGAUAUCCUAGGCAUGUAAAAAAAAAAUGCAAAAUCUUCCUCCCCUUCCUCCAAGACUGGGAAAAAAAUCUCACUAAUUUUGCCUGAACUCAACGACAUUGCAAAGGAGGAUAAAAAUGAAAUUUCUAAUAGGUUAAUCAGUUAUAUAAAUUAAUAGAAGUACUACUGACUUUUUAAUAUUUUAGUAUAAUAUAUAUAGCAAACAAUCUAGGAAGAAAUGAUUCUUUCAUUUACUCCCUAGAUGUUAGAAGACACUGAGGCAUCAACAGGGUUUAAUUCCAUACUCUGUCAUCGAAUAUAGCAAUUGUAAUUGCACCAAUCAGCACUUUGUGUCAAGCUCAAGAUUUGUAAAUGCACCGAUCAGCACUCUGUGUCUAGCUCAAGGUUUGUAAACGUAACUGUGUCUAGCUCAAGGUUUGUAAAUGCACCAAUCAGUGCUCUGUGUCUAGCUAAUCUACUGGGGACUUGGAGAACUUUUGCGGCUAGGUAAAGGAUUGUAAACGGACCAAUCAGCUCUCUGUAAAACGGACCAAUCAGCUCUCUGUAAAAUGGACCAAUCAGCUCUCUGUAAAAUGGACCAAUCAGCAGGAUGUGGGUGGAGUCAGACAAGGGAAUAAAAGCAUACUGCCUGAGUCAGCAGGGGUGAGCAAGCAGAGGUGAGCCAGCAGGGGUAACCUGCUCGCAUCCCCUUCCACGCUGUGGAAGCUUUGUUCUUCUGCUUUUUGCUAUAAAUCUUGCUGCAGCUCACUCUCUGGGUGGGGCUGCCUUUAUGAGCUGUGAGUUGUAACACUCACCGCAGAGGUCUGCAGCUUCACUCCUGAGGCCAGUGAGACCAUGAACCCACCGGAGGGAAUGAGCAACUCCAGACACACUGCCUUUAAGAACUGUAACACUCGGUUUGAGAGUCCGUGGCUUCAUUCUUGAAGUCAGCAAGACCAAGAACCCACAAAUUCCAGACACAUAAUGACCAUAGCAACUUAAUCAGAACUCAGUGAGUAGUAGAUUUGAACUUAAGAAAAUGCAACAAAAACUAAAGUAGGUUUUACUAAAAUAUAUGAUUUAAUAAACUCUAAAUCUACAGAUUUUGCUGAAGUUCUUAUAAUUGGGUCAUAGCAGUAAAUUCAAUAAACGACUUCUAAAAUGCUUUAAUGGUGUUUGUGUCCUGGACAUGAUUUUCCCCAAGAAGAACUGUUGUAUUCACCCUACCUUUAACUGUUUCUAGUCAGUUCCACAGAUUCCAUAAAAGUUAACUCCAGAGCAGAGAAUGAUGCCACAGUCGGGAUAACAUCCAAUAUUUGCAAUCAGAAGAAAUAUGAGAGUCUUGCUCCAUCACCCAGGCUGCAGUGCAGUGGCACGAUCUUGGCUCACUGCAAGCUCCACCUCCCGGGUUCACGCCAUUCUCCUGCCUCAGCCUCCCAAGUAGCUGGGACUACAGGCGCCCACCACCACGCCCAGCUAAAUUUUUUUGUAUUUUUAGUAGAGAUGGGGUUUCACUGUGUUAGCCAGGAUGGUCUCGAUUUCCUGACCUCGUGAUCUGCCUGCCUCGGCCUCCCAAAGUGCUGGGAUUACAGGCGUGAGCCACUGUGCCCGGCCGUAAUUAUUCUUUUCGUGUUAAGCAAUGGUAAAAGAACUGACUGAAAAUAAGAAUAUUAAAAAGUUUCUCUGCUAAAAACAGAAAAUUAUGUUUGUUACCAUUCCUACUAUAACCCCAGUGAUAUGGCUCCGAUGAGUGGAGGAACACCAGGGUUCUUGGUCUUCAUGCCAGUUUAGAUAAAACAACACAGACAUACGUGGAGUGGUUUUAAGGAGCAGACAGUUUAAUAGGCAAGAAGAAAAGAGAAGGCAGAAGGAAAAGGCUCCCCGAUACAAAGACAGAGGGAGGGGGCCUCCAAAGCCAAAAGAGGAAAUCCCAAGUGCAGUGGAUACCAGCCAGGUAUAUGUAGAGGCUGGAGGAGGUGGUGUCUGAUUUGCAUAGGGCUCAGGGGAUUGGUUUGACCAGGCCUGUAAUUCACGGGGCCUGAAAAAGCUGGCCCUCCCACCCUAGCAUUUAAUAUGCAAAUGCAGGGCGCCACGAUGUUCUACAAAUGGUGGGUAUAUGUGGGAGCGGCCAUGUUGCCAGGAACAUGUGGGGCAAGGGCAAGAAGGCCACGGGAAUCACCAUGUUUGGGUAGACGCAGUUUCUAAUGGCUUGCAUUUGCCUAUCAAAGGUUGCCAGCCGCUCUAAGAGCCAGGGCAUUCCAAUUCUGGAGCUGCUUUAAAAAUGAAAACUUCCCAAGGAUCCCUUUUCUUUUCUAUCUGCCUAAAAUAAUUUCUUAAUAACUCCUACAACACAAUGAUUUUCAGUGAAACAAAAGCUGCUGUUUUAUUUUUGUUAAAUUGUUUUUCUUAGCUAAAGAGAUAAAAGUGAGGAUGAGGGAUUCAAAAUGUGGUUUACUUUAUAGAGCUUGCAAAACUCACAGCAUUUAAAGCAGUUUUUAACAGGAGUAUGGGGAUAGGGCUUGAAUGAACUUGGAAAUGCCAUUCAAUUGCUAAAAUCAUAUGCAUCACAUUGUGUUCGUCUGCACAUACGUGCACUUUUCUGGUAAGAAGUUUCAAACUUACAACAAAUUUUCAAAAGAGGUCUAUACUUUUGAAAGUAUAAGAAAUCACUUAGUUUACUGACUUUCCUUAUUUCAGGCCACAUCCAAAAGUACAAAACAGCACAUUUACAUUUUGUAUUUCACAUUUUUUUCAAUACUUACCUUGGGAGCCAUAGGCCCUGCUAAAGUUUUGCUGAAAAAUCAUGGACAUGAUGCAGAUUAAUUAAGAGGAGAAAAGGCAUAUAGAUUUAUUUAACAUGUAUACACAGGAGCAUUCAAAAUGAAGACCCAGCUUCUCCAUGAGUUACAGAAACUUAUAUACCAUCUUGAGUUUGCAGAACGAAUGGGGGCUUGCAUCCUGGUAAGACAGGAUAUAGGAAGAAGGAGAAGAGAAAUUCUAUUGAGGGGCAAUAAAUGACUGUGAAGGAGAAUGAUUGGAUCAGGGAACAGAGAUUAACUUUGUAAAUAGUUUUCUUUGAAAUUUAAAUGAUCCUUGGAGACAAUCAUUGUUCUUAUUAAAAGGUCUGUUCAGGUAUUGGUCACAUCUUGGCCUUCUUUUCUGCAAUAGAUAAUGAGAUAACAGAGAUGGGAAGAAAACACAAUAGUUCUCAUUGGUAGGUCUGGAUCCUAAGCAGAUAAAGGAACUUCAGUUUAUUUGGGAGAGACAGUGGUGGUGAGAGGCCAAAGAGAUCUUCAGGCUUCUUCAGCUCAGCAUGUCAAAAUGCCAUAUUUUGGUAUAUGAAUUUCUGAGCCCCAACAUUCUCCCAUCUGAAACUUCCCUAGGAGUUUCACAAACUAAAAGCUGAGUUAGUGGCUGUGGAAGAGAAAAGUUAAGCUAAAAUAUGAAUGGCAAAUAAUUCUAUUUAACCAAUCUGUGAAUAGGUCAAUUAAACACCUCUUUCAUUUUAGGAGAUAGCAUUGCAGAUGGGCUUUCAAACAGAAGAAAAACAGGUUAAUUUUGGAAACAGUCUAUAAACCAGUUUCCUUACAGUCUGCAGGGCAGUCAGUUGAGGUGUCCAGAUGUUAGACUCAAAGCCCAGUUAAAGAGGAAGCCAGCAAUGGCAAUCUGACAAGAUUUUUUUUGCCUGUUUCAAAAAGUUUAAGCUUUAGCUUAUAGGGCCUCAGGAAAAAGGUAGUAGCAAUUCCAUUGAGUCCAAGUAAGAAAAAUCCUUUUGAAUUUUUUAUUACCAGAUUUUAGUGAGGAUAAACAGCUGAUAUUUCUGGCUUUUAAACAUUUUUUUUUUUAACCAAUGACAUCCUCCCAAGUACCAUAAUCGAGGUUAUAACUUAAGCAUAAGGUGUCUUCAAAGAGGUGGCAAACACUUUUUACAAGAUAUAAAAUUACCCCAAAGAUAGCUCAAAGAAAGGAAAAUUUUGGUAGCCAUAAAUGGAGUGUGACUCACAUUUCUGUUUGGCCAGUCUCUGGAGUCUCAGCUGCUCAGCUCAUUUUCUACAUACAGAAGCCAAAAUGCCUCAUAUGCCCCCACAGAUGAAAGACAGGAAAUCAAAAUCUGUCCAUGGAAGGGAAAAUAAUCAAUAAAUUUUGGGAAGGUAACACAAACGUCAAUCCAGAAAGCACUAAGUCCCUUGCCAGAAGUUUAAUCCAGGCUGCUGUGGUAAAAGGGCAGACCUUGGCUACUAGGUUACAACAUGAGGUGGUCUUUAUUGUUCUUCCCAGAAGAAAUCCAGAGCAGACAGUUUCAAUUUACAAAGGAAAAUGGCAACAACAACAACAACAACAAAUCACCUAUUUCUGAGAGGAAAGGGGGGGUCGAAGAAUGUGAAUAUUCAUACCUCACAGUACUGAAAGUACACUGGAGUCACUAUAACCCAAGACUCAUCACACAAAUCCUUUUUUCUCAUUAAUAAAAUCAUUGCAGAUGAGACAAACAAUGAUUUUUUCCCAUCCACUCAACUGGAAUGCAAAGAGAGAGAGAGGUCAGGAGACUGGCUGGUAAGAAAUUCUUAUCCCUUUGCUGGCAGGUCAGGUUCCUGGGUUCUCUUUACUGCAGCUUAUAGAAGAGAAGAGCAGCUUUGAUUACCCUGCUCACUGCACUAUACUGUGGUGGCCAUAGGCUCUUGGUCCCUUGAAGUUUCACUGAAAAAAAAAUCACUGACAUGAAGCAGAUAAAUUAAUAGGGGAAAAGGCAUGUAAAUCUAUUUAGCAUGUAUACACAGGAGCCUUCAGAAUGAAGACCCAACUUCUUCAUGAGUUACAGAAACUUGAGGUUACAAAAGAAUGGGGGCUCGCAUCCUGGUAAAACAGGUUAUGGGAACGGUGGAGGGGGAAGAGGAAUUUUACUGAUGGGCAAUAAAUGAUUGCAAGGGAGAAUGACUGGAUUGGGGAACAGAGAUUAACUGAUCUGUAGAGACAGUAAUUAUCCUCAUAAAAAGGUCUGUGCAGGUAUGGUCACAGCUUCUUUUCUGCAGUAGAUAAUGAGAUAAUGGGGAGGGAAAGAAAAAGACAAAUUAUUCUCCUUGGUGGGUCUGGAUUUUAGGCAGAUAAAGGAACUUCAGCUUCUUUGGGUGAGAUCAUGUGGAGAUUAGGUCAGAGAGACCUUGAAGCUUCUUCAGCUUAGCAUGUCAAAACAUCAUAUUUUGGGGUAACAAUUUCUGAGCCCAACAUUAUUAUGUCAACCCCUCCAGGAAACUGCAAUUGAGCAGAAUAGAUAGUAAUGAUACUAAGGUUAUAAGGGUGUUAAAAGAUAACAUUUUUUAAGGGUAAAAGCAUUCUUCUCAAAAAAUAUAAAACACAUGAAGAUUCUAUUAAAUUCAUUAAUUAAUAAUGGAAUCAAAUGUUAGAACCAGUUCAGAGUAGUUCUUUUUAAUGACACAAAUGUAGGGAAUAAGGAAUGCUAAAACAAAAUUUUAAAUAAAGACAGAAGUGAUCUAUCUACAGGACAAUAACCAACUGCAUUCCACAAGGACCCAAUUUGUUUGUAUUUCAACUGAAAAGAAUCAUUCACAUUAUUAUGAGUUUUAAAUCCUUCAAAAACAAUGACAAGCACAGAGAUUGCAGAUGGGUACACUAUAAAGGCUGCCAGCGAUCUCCCCCUCCCUCAUUUCGAAUCUGUCACAAUUUUUCUGACAUGCAUUUGCAGAGAAAUUGUGAUGAAGUUUUUUUCUGUCACACAAAAGGCAAGCAUCCAAUUUGACUGAGGGAGUCAAAGGUAGUCCCCACAGAAGUGGUAUUUAAAUGAAUGUUGAAUGAAUGUGCAUUAAGUAAAGAAUAUCUAUGGGGACUUAACAUUUGAAAGGUUCUGGGGCAUCUGAAAAAACAGAGCAAAGCUGUUGGAUGACAAUGGAAUGCUAAUUUAGAGUCGUGUUUGGAAGAACUGAGGUCCCAGUGGUGGAAUUUGAGUUUAUGAUUUCCCAAAGUACGCCUCCUAGAGGAGGAAGUAUACAUCAGUGCUUGAUGGCUUUGAGAGAGUCUUGAGAGUGUAGCCUGCAGCUUCUCAAUGAAAAAUGUCAAAUUUAUCUGCAAUCAUGUUUUAUCUUAAAAUUUCGCUUGGUUUUUAAUAUAACAAUCUAUGAGAUUACAACUUAUUGAGUAAAAUUUAUUGUGCUUAGUACAUGAGAGGAAAGAAGUAUAUAUUGGUUUUGAAUUUUGGCUGAACUGACAUUCCACAAAGUCAUCCCAGGCUCUUAGCCAGACUCUCUGGGUACACUCACUUUGUCUCCGGAGAUAUGCAAGCUCCUCAAAUUAAGGUGCAAAACAUGCAUUGACUACAGGUUACUAAAAGCUUUUAUUGGUCAGUGAAGUCACACGGUUAGUUUUAUUAUGUUUGGGGAAAAUUACUGCCAAUUCCAUGAAAGAAGAUUUGACCCAGCACCAGUGGGAAGCAGUGAUCAGAAAAUGGGCUGCCGAAACAGGCUUGGACUGAGGGUGUGAAUGGGAAGAAAAACGCUAUCUUACAGAGGUAAUUAAAAUGUUCUGACCAAUUAUCUACAGGCGAGAAAAGAGAAGGGUCAGGUAUAACAUUUCUGGUUGUAUUCCUGCAGACAGUUUGCUGGUAGAACUGGAGUUAGCAACUAUGCCACUGAUAGAAACAGGAGACAGCCAAGGGUCCCCGGAGAAACCCUGCCUUCAAGCCUAAAACGCCCUGCAGGCUGAAAAACCAGCUGCUGGUCCUGGAUGAAACCCACAACCCAGAGGGAGAACUGCCCCUGUUUGCCCGCCCUUUCCCAGCCGAUUCUUUCAGAAUAAGGCCCACAUGCGCACCGGGGAAACGGGGUCGAGCCACAGAAAGUUGCGCCUUGUUCAAUGGGGAGGAGUCUGGUCUCUUCAGUUUUCCUGUGCGUGGCCUGGAAUCAAUCUGUGAGGUGGGGGCCUAUUGGCAGGAUCCCCUCUCGCUUUCUUGAGAGUUUUUUUCUUUUUUUCCUUUUUGCCCAGUAAAUUCUGUUCCCCACACCCUUCAAUGUGUCCACGUGCCUAAAUUUUCCAGUUCUUGAUAUAAGAACCUGGAUUUAGCUGAACUAAGGAGCAAAAAUUCUCCUUAGAAUUUUUGGAAGGUUGGUGUAAAGUUAACAGUUGCAGCCACCUGACGGUUUCUAAAUCCCAGGUUUCUUGUAUUACCCAUUGCUCUUUUUCUCUAGCCUUUUAAAGCAGACCUGUAAGAGACCAGGCCAGCUUUAGCAUUUCUUUUGUCUUUUAAUCUGUAAGUUUUGUGCUUGAGCAGGAAGCAGACAGGUUACCUUUUUAAGACACUAAAGGAGAUGAGAUGAAAUUAUUUGUAUGAUCAAAAUGCAUAUUUAGAAUGUGCAUCUGUAAGUUUUCCAUGAUUAAGUUCUUGGGAAAAAAUUUUCAUUUUCCUACUUGGGAUUAAAGAAAAUUCAUCAUAAUAGCGUAGUUAGAAGAGUGAAUGUGAGGAUGCAAAGCCAAGCAAUAUUUAAAUUUACCAAUCUAAGAAGAAAUCUUUAAUCUGGCAUUAUGGCCAAUGAAUCUCAUGUAAAAUUUUCUUCCAGAUGCCCACACAGCUUAACUUUUAGAAACACAACACAGGAUAUUUCAGAGAUAAGCUGUGAUGAGUUCAGGACACGCUACCCCCAAAAUAUGACACAGUGGCAUAUGUAAUAUUUUAGGUGGAAGGAAUUUGAGAAAUAUCAUGAGUGGGAAGUGUCUUCUGACCUUCCCAUGAAGCAGAUCAUAACAACCUCAUGUGAAAGGUGCCCUCCCUAUACCCAGAUGAAAGGAGCAGCCUUCUCUCUGAAGACACAGGGACACAGACAAGAACUGAAUGAAGGGAUUUUGCUCAGUUUUCCCCAGUUUACUCAUACCCUUUAUGCUAUCACAUUUUCCCAUAACUUUCCACUUUUCAUUAAACCUAGAAUAAAAACUCUCAGGUUAAACUGUUUCUUUGCGUCUUCAUUUCCUUAUGAAAACUCCCAUGUCACAUAAAACUUAAAUAAAUGUGCAUGCUUUUCUCUUGUUAAUCUCUUUUGUUACAGGAGUACCAGCCAAUGCACGUUAAGAUGAGUAGAAGGAAAAGAUGUUUUUCCUCCUCUAUAGCUACAUAGUCACAAACAAGGCUGUACCUGUAUAAGGUUUCUUUGGAUAGCAGUGAGUAAAACCUACGCGGAGAGGUUCUAUGCCGAAGGAAUUUUGCUUACUGGAGGACCAGAAACACACGCGCGCGCGCGCGCACACACACACACACACACACACGGGCAGGGGACAAGGGCGUGGCAAAGGGCUCAGAGUGAUUAGGGAACAUGAGCCUUAUGGAAACCAAAGGAUCCUGGAAAGCAGUAAUAGUCAUUGCUGACAUUCAUUAAUAGCUUAUUAUGAGUGUGUGUGUGCAACACACACACACACACAGAGAAAGAGAGAGAGAUUGAUUCUGCUUUUUCUGGAACUAGAGCUAGAAAUGUGGUUUAGGAGGGUUAGGAUACAAAUCCUAUUCCUUUGGGAUUGCAUCCUUCAAAGGGUGUAUGAGGAGAAUUAUCAUUUCUUUAAUAGUGCUUGGCCCUAAACUUUCCCACAAGUCUGGUCAUGGAAAGCUUUCCCAAGGAGUUCUGCUUUGAGUAUUUAUAUCCGUCUGACUUCUAGGAAAAAGCCAAGAAAUAGACAGAGAGACAAAGAAUACCCUAAAGACACUUAGAGAUGUACCAGAUUGUAAUGUUGCAAAUUUCUUAGGACAAUAUCAUAUAUCAGAAGAGAGUGGGUUUACUUGGAUAGGAGUCAGAAAUUUGGGGAAAUAAUGGCUGUGUUAGCAAAUGCGCCUUCACCCUACCAAGAAGGCUUGUUUUUCUUAGCACACAGUGGAUUUAAAGUUACAGCCUGAGUGGAUAUUCCCAGCUCAGUUGAUUUCUCAUGAGCCACAUAUAUUCACAUGCCCCAGACAAGAUUAUUUCCAGUUUUCAGCACUCGUAGUUCUGGGAAGGGAGAGCUAAAUUAUGUGAGAGCACUCUCAGUGGGGGGACACAUAGAGAGAGUUGUUCUAGCAGCAAUAAAACUAGGGCAAUAAGGGGAAUUGAAGGUUAGGCAAGUCUGAGGCCUCAGACAUGGUGUUCAAUCAAUUAUAACAGAAGGACCUGCAUUGAUUCCAGCUGAAAUCUUAAGUAGGUAGCAGCUAGAUUAGCCUCAACAGAGAAAACAAUUAUUUUGGGGGCUACCUGUGGAGAUGAACUCCCUAAAAAGCUCUAAUUUUUAGAAAAUAUUUCUUAUCGUUUCAACAAACAUUAUGAAGUAUAUUCUGGACACUGGGAAUAGAAAAGUGAGUACGAAGACCCUUUCCUCAAAGGUUUUCUAGUCUUUUCACAAAUUUCUUAUGGGUUUGACAACAGAAAUGAUACUUGAGAAUAUUUAUACCUAUAAUUAAUAAAUUAAUUUUUGCCAUGAAGAAGGAAGACAAAAGAACAUCCAAAAAUUCAUAAAAUACUCUCAACAAAGUAAAAGUUUAUUCCACAUUGAAUCAAAGUAUUAAUUUCAUUUUCUGCAGAUUUUUCAAAUUGGCACUUGCCGUUAAUAAGAAACUUUUACUUUGUUUCCAUGAUUUAUAUAAGGUAAUUUAUAUCAUUCAACUUGCUGUAAAAGUUGAGACUGUUGGAAUUUCUUCAGUAGUUCCACUUCCAACCUUGUGCAGGAACUAUUUCUAACUUCCUAUUUUCAGUCUCCCCAUCUGCAAAAUGGAUUUAAUGACACAUUCACCCAAUAGAUUUUUAAAUAAGUAUUUAAAAAGCAAAUAUAGGGCUGGGUGCGGGGGCUCAUGCCUAUAAUCCCAGCACUUUGGGAGGCUCAGGCGGGCAGAUCAUUUGAAGCCAGGAGUUUGAGAACAGCCCAGGCAACGUGGCGAAACCUAUCUCUACUAAAAAUAUGAAAAUUAGCCUGGCGUGGUGACACAUGCCUGUAAUCCCAGCUACUCAGGAGCCUGAGGUGGGAGAAUCCCUUGAACCCGAGACGAGGAGGUUGCUGAGAUUGUGCCACUGUACUCCAGCCUGGAUGACAGAGUGAGACUGUAUCUAAAAAAAUUAGAAUUAAAAUUAAAAAGUAAAUAUAUAUAUAAAGCACAAAAAAGAGUAACUUACUCAUAGUAAGCUAUUAAUGAAUGUCAGCAACGACUAUUACUACUUUCCAGGGUCCUUUGGUUUCCAUAAGGCUCAUGUUCCCUAAUCACUCUGAGUCCUUUGCCACGCCCUUGUCCCCUGCCCGUAGUGUGAAGUGCUAUUCCCUAUUUAGAGAGCAAUAGCCACUGCUUUAUGUUCUUCACCUGGGAAGGGCUGAUCCAGCAACGAUCCCCAACAGAGGGAUUGGAUCUUUUUCUUCUUCUUUCUCACAAAGACCAAUGGGAGGCGGAGACCUAGAACCUGGGAGCAGGAAGCAGCCAAGGGAAGAGGUGAUUUUUAUUCAACCCUUCAAAAUGCCAAUGUUGUUAAUAAUAUUGUAGCACUACUAAUAAUGCAGUUCUCCCCAUUUGUCUGGUGAGAGGGGAAAGGAACCUAGUGUCUCUGUGUAUCAGCCACACAAAGCCAGGGGCAAUGUGAACAGUGUGCUGAAGCCAGCUCAGAGUACCUGACUGUGAUGGCCUCUAUGUCCAGAAGGUCAGAAGUUACCUCAGCCCGCUCCAGGGACACACGGAGGCCAUAGCAUAACGUGGGGCCCAAAGCCAUCUGUUCACAGCAGUGAUACUGACGUAUGGAAUCUGAGGAGCAUUUUGAGAAGCUCUUUUGGUGCAGGUUUUUCAAGCCUCAUCAUUGCAGUAACUCUGGAGCUAUGUUAAGAAACCCAAAAGAGGCAAAAAGAGUAAUGAGAGCCAAGAGGGGUGCCAAGAGAUUCAGGUUUCAUGUGUGACAUUUGAAACAAAAGAUUGGGAAGCGACCUGGAGAAAUUUCCUGAUUUGGUAUUUAGCUGUUCACUGGCCUUGACCUCUGGCCUUGGCCAUGAGGAAAUGGUUAAAGUCAUUGACAAAGAAAAGAGAGCAGAGAAUGGUGUGUGUGUGUGUGUGUGUGUGUGUGUGUGUGUGUGUGUGUGUCUGUGUCCUGCCUCAUAGCCGUUGAUGAAGAUUUUCUCCUUGACUAAACACCAGCCAAGCUCCUCUGAGUCCUCUUCUCAACUAACCCUCAACCUUGGCCUAAAACCACAAAAUGUCAGCAUAAACAAUUUCAUCCACCCCUGUCCCCCACUUUAAAAGACAUGAACAAAUACUAACAUAGUUUCUAACAGCUCAAGGGCAUAUCCUUAGGAUGAUGACUCCAGCGCCAUAAGUUCCUGACUGAGAAAGCUCAGGGUUGCAAAACAAUUUACUGUUUUGUACCAGCCAACACCUGAAUAGGGUCCCUGUCUCCCAGUCUUGGAGGGGGAGUAGGAAUCUAACUUUGAUAAAUGCCAGUUUGCAAACCAAGGUAGCUCCACAUGGACCAACCCCACUUUCUCACAUUUUGUAAAUGUCCACUUCCCUGAUUCUGCUCAAGCCCCUGCUGUUCCCUGUCCCUAGCUCCUCAUCCUUCCUCUAUAAGGCCUAGCCACCUCUGCACAAAUCGUAGUUCAGUUCAGUUCACACUGGACCUACUUCUCUAUUGCAAUUAUUUAUGACUAAUGAAAAUUUGUCUUUACCACUUCCCUCGGUGUCUGGUUUUCUUUAUCUUUGACAGCACCUUCAGCAAUACACAUUCUGAUAUCCUGGGGGAUCUGAUUUUUGAGGCUGAUGAGGCACUUAGUAGGGUAACUAUUUCCAGGAAAAGCUCAGUGAGCAAGAAGAGGAUGAAAACCAACCAGGCAAUGGUUGGAGGAAAGCGCGGCUCAGAUGAAAACAUUAGGAGUGACAUUUUUUAAAGAAAGAAUAUUUCUAAUAGAAAAAGCAUUUGGAUCCUCAGUUAAACAAUUUCGAAGAAAUAUUCCUCAUGGCAAGGAGUUUUAAAUAGAAGAACGUUCUGGUCCCCUAAACUUACUCUCUUGCCUUCUCUCCUUUCUGAUUAAAAAAUUUACUGUUUCUAAACCUUCCUUUUUUCUACCUAUAAAACAUACAAAUUUUAUUAAAAUGAGUCACAUGAGUUUCUAUACACAAGAAAAUGUUAAUGUAAGAAAAAUUAUUAUAUUAUUUGAUUUAGGGAAUUGACUUAAUUUAUACAAUCUGAAUUAUUUUUAUUCUUUAUCCAUGUUCUGGCCUUUAACAACAUUUGUUUCCUUGAUAUAGUUCCUUGUUAUAUAGUUUUGUAAUUUAACUUUAUGUCUUAAAGGUCCAGAAAGCAAACUUAGAUUAAGACAAAUAAAAUAAAACAGACAGUAGAGAUAUCAAUAGAUUUACUUAGAUCCAUUCACUUAACAUCAAUGCAUAACACAUUCCAAAAGCGAG
rnacentral:lncRNA from 10 species